GAGUUUGAUCCUGGCUCAGAUUGAACGCUGGCGGCAGGCCUAACACAUGCAAGUCGAGCGGUAGAGAGAAGCUUGCUUCUCUUGAGAGCGGCGGACGGGUGAGUAAUGCCUAGGAAUCUGCCUGGUAGUGGGGGAUAACGCUCGGAAACGGACGCUAAUACCGCAUACGUCCUACGGGAGAAAGCAGGGGACCUUCGGGCCUUGCGCUAUCAGAUGAGCCUAGGUCGGAUUAGCUAGUUGGUGAGGUAAUGGCUCACCAAGGCGACGAUCCGUAACUGGUCUGAGAGGAUGAUCAGUCACACUGGAACUGAGACACGGUCCAGACUCCUACGGGAGGCAGCAGUGGGGAAUAUUGGACAAUGGGCGAAAGCCUGAUCCAGCCAUGCCGCGUGUGUGAAGAAGGUCUUCGGAUUGUAAAGCACUUUAAGUUGGGAGGAAGGGCAGUAAAUUAAUACUUUGCUGUUUUGACGUUACCGACAGAAUAAGCACCGGCUAACUCUGUGCC
rnacentral:rRNA from 1 species